UGUGAUGUAAACUAGGCAACACGGGAGGGAGAGGAGCGCGGAGGCUGUACAGGGAAGGAAAGUAUCACGUAGGCAGUAAGUAGGCUGUCUAGGAAGAACGGAGGGAAGACACGUAUAGGAGGAAAUGUUCUCGGUGAAAGGGAACCGUGCGUUGUGCCUUAUUGCGGGUUUGUCUGGACACACCUGAGGACACGGACCGCUAGAUGUUACGUGUUUGUGGUCGUCAUCUUUGAGAGAAUGGCAGAAAAAACGGCAAAACACAUCCCUUCCUCUCCGCUGCUCUCCUCUCGCUCCGCCAUUACCCGUAGCCUGGUAAAGAAACCAAAGGAACAUUGAGCCUCAAGUGGAACAUAAGCCUGAACCAAGAGGUGAACCAAAGGGUCCCCACCAGGCAUCCUGAAGGCAGGAGUGCCCACCCAGCCAGCCCCCCACCAAUGGCAGAGAAAGUCAUGGUGCACUCCAGUGACUAAAGGUAAGUUUGGUUCAUCAUUCUCCCCUGCAUGAUUGGGAAAGUCACGGCGAGGCGCUCCAA